rnacentral:misc_RNA from 1 species
UGAGGUAGAGGAUACUGGAGUUUAUUGUACAUUUGUUGUGGCCUUGGAGGAAAGAAUUUGUGAUCGUGACUCAUUGACAAAGUAAAGCCAGGUAGUGACUUAACUGUGUAACACUAUGUCGUGGUUUGGUGGGAACUCUGACAAGAAGAUGCAGGACUGCAUGUUCCAGUUGAAGUUCUGUGGCAAACAAAUGGAAAGACUCUCCAAGAAGGCAGAGAAGGACCAGAAGAUUCAAGAAGGAAAAAUCAAGAAAGCUCUGCAACAGGGAAACGUUGAAGGUGCCAAAAUUUAUGCUGAAAAUUCAAUUAGGAAGAAGAAUGAAUCACUCUCUUACUUACGGAUGGCAUCAAAGAUAGAUGCUGUAGAGUCAAGGAUUCAGUCAGCAAUGGCUAUGAAGGGAGUCACCAAGAAUAUGGGCUCUGUGGUGAAGGCUUUGGAUCAGGCCCUCAAUGCCAUGGACUUACAAAAGGUUUCCUCAAUCAUGGAUAAGUUUGAAACACAAUUUGAGGACUUGGACGUGAGAACAUCGGUGCUGGAAGACAGCAUGGGAGCUGCCACAACACUUUCCACUCCAAAAGAGGCUGUGGAUGCCCUUAUCCAGCAGGUGGCAGAUGAGGCCGGUCUGGAGGUUAUGGAUCAAGUCAAUGCCCAGGAUGUGCCCACAGCAACACUUAGUUCUACUGCUGGUGAACGUACAGCUGACCAGGAAGAUGUGCUCACUAGACGGCUUGCAGCUCUGAGAAAUUAGUACUGGAGUGUAAUGAAUGGUUGUGUAUCAUGUAUAUAUGAAAAUGAUAUCUACUUAAACAGACUUUCAGUUUAUUGUAGAAUAUUGGUUACAUUAUAUUAUCUUUGCUGAUUUGUUAAUGAGGUUAUUAUCUUUGGAAGUGAAGAAUUAUUAAUGAUUUUGAAGAAAAUAAGGGAACCUCAUCACUGAAUGGAAUGAUAAAUCAGAGAAUGUUUUUUGUGACAUGCAGCUUCCUGGUGUUAAAUAUGUACCUUGAUGUACCUUUAUACAAAUUAAUGUAUUUCUUUGUUCUGUACAUCAUAAUUUACAUAAAUUGUAAAUCUCUUCCCGAAUAUCUGCAAUAUCUAGAUGCUGUUGGAUGUUUUGGAGGAAUUUUUCCAUCUGUUGAAAGUUAAGUCUUGAGGACAAGAAGGAUAAAUAGUAAGUGGACUUGAUGGUCGUCUGGAGAGAACAUGUGGCACGGAAAGUGAAUCAGAGUGGCUUUGAUGCUAAUCUGAGGUCAUUAGGGAGCACUGCUAAUGUUGCAUGUAGAAUUAUUGUUUUGAAAGAUGACAUUUUGAAAAAUACAAAUUGGCAGGUGCAGUAAACUCUCGCAAUUUUGGACUUAAUUUUUUUUUUACACUUAGGCCAUCAAGUAAAAGUACUGUACAGUGCUGUACUGAAAUUUGGAAAAGUUUUAAAAUAUUAAAUUCAUACAAAACUUUGGUGGCCCAUUUGUUGAAUUGUCUUAUGAGUAGCAUGUAACCAUGUACUUUACACUUCCUCUUUCAACACUUUAUGUCAUCUCUGCACAACCACAGUUUGUACGAGGUAGACUUAUUUUAGUUUAACACUUAGUGCUCUAGUAGUAGCUUCCUUUUAGUGGGAAACACUUCUGAAAAUGAUAGACUGCUGUAAGUGAAGUGAUUGUGUGCUCCUUCGGCCUGCCUACACAAAUGCAUCUAUAUUUACUCCAUUCCCUUGUGCACACUUGUUUUCUUAACACAUCCAUGUGUGUUCUCUGCUCAGCCAUAGUUUGUAUUUAUCUUUCUUUACUUUUAUUUUUGUAAAACUUUUAGUGCUCUAGCAGAAAGCAUCUCAGAAUAGACAAAAAUGAUAAAGCCAGCUUUAUGUAGAGUAGUUGUGUUAAAUUCCUUGUAAAUGCUGAUACUGCACUGUACAGUAUAUGCUUUUGCCUUGACCUCGAGUGGCAAAAGUAAGGUUUGUAUACUGCGUGCAGUAUAGGUGUUACAUUUGUUUUUGUUCUUUUUUGUUUUUUUUAAAUGCUGUAGAAAACAGGGCAUUAGAUGGUUACUUGUGCAAAGGGGUGGGUGUGAGACAAGUGUUAUCACUUAAUUAACACCAUUUUCUCUCAGGAAGUCUCUCCAGUUUCAGAAAAUUAAAAAUUUGGGAUUGAGUUUCCCCGACUAGUCCAAAAUUGCAAAGGUUUUCUAUAUUGUGUAAAAGCAGAGAAAAUGCAAGAGUUCUUUUGGCAUUUAUUAAUUGAUAAUUUUGAAGAAACUUGGUACCUGUAAUUAAGGAGAACUUAAAAGUAUUGGAGUGGAAUGCUAGGUAAUUUGGGUUGAUUUUAUAUUAAAAAAUUAUAUUUGGUGCAACAUUUGAUAAUUAAGUCAUAUAGAGAUUGUUUGAGGUCAUUUAUACAGUACAGUACAGGAUUUUGAAAAUUUUAUGGUUUGCAGAUGUACUGUAUUUAAUGAUUUUGGAAGUAAAUUUGGUGAAUAUUGACAAUAAGUAUUGUUAUUAGGGUAUGAGACAUUAUGAAUAAGCUAGAGUGUGAAUGACAUUGUUUGUCUUACGUAAGAUCUUUCCUUAUCAGUGAAUCAAAUCUUACGGACAUAGAGGAAUUUUUGCUGAUAGUGAUAAAGAUUAUGUUGGUCGUGGGAGUGGUACUGUACCUAAUUUCCACGUCUAAUAUGCAGGGUGAGAGGCAUUAGGGUCACUACUUUUGGAAAAGAGGGAAGUGUUUGCAAUAUUGGGAAAUUUUUUAACCACUAGGUACAUGCUGGGAAAUUUUAUUGUUGUUUUGAGAUGCUUUAUGUCAGGUACAGAUUCUUUAAACCUAGUCUCAUAAAAUCAGAGGUUGUUGAAAGACCCAUUUUUUCCUUAAGUUUUCUUCCUUUGCCAAGUCAAGUUUUGCAUCCACUCAACAGACCUGGUUGAAUGUUUGUUUUACAUCUUAAAUAAGAAAAUAAAGAAAACAGAAUUGUUUGUAAGUACUGUAGUGUAAAUUUAAAAGAUAUAUUCAAUAGAUGACCCAUAGAGAGCAGGUAGCAUUUGGCAUAAGUUACCUUGCCUCUUUAGUUUAAUUUCACUAAUAUUAAUUUCAAAAGCUAUGUGAAAUAAUAACAAUAUUUCAUCAAAACAAAUGAAUAUAAAAACCGAUAAACAAAGCUACUGUAUAUAUUCAUUCAGACAAUAAAUAUAAACUCUGUACUUCUAGCAGAUGUCCCCUGACUUGCUGGGAUGUAAACAAACCUUUCAACUCUAGCAACUCCCAGCUUCCAAAUAGACUACAGUAUAGUUAAUGUGUGUUUAUAAGUUAGUGUGUUUACAGUGAUGUUUUCCAUAUUUUGUUAUUUAAGAAGUAAAACCAACAUUAGACUAAGUGUGUGUGUGUGUGUGUAAACAAGUCUUGACAGUCUCCUCCUAGGCCCAGGGUACAAUGACCUAUGACCCAGGAAGCCAGCAAAUCCUCAAUACCAGUUUAGUCUUCGUCCCAUGGGUCCUGGAUAUGAGGGUUUACACCUGUAGCAUAAUGGUAGUGAAGAGCAAAUACACAAAUGGAACAUCUGGAAACAGGCUGAUACCAACCAGUCUGCCUUGAGAUAAGUACAGUAUGUAUUUCAGUUUUAAAGAUUCAUCAACAAGUAAUCCACUGUGAUGACUUACAGUACAGGAUAUUUUGGGUUAUGUUGUAGUGUGGUAAGAGUGAAGGAAGUCUUUUUAUAUUUUUUUUAACAUUAUUGUACAACUGAACUACAGUAUUCCCUUGAUGGGUUACUCACCUAGGAUCCUGAUGUAGUUAGUUCAUACAGUGAAUAUUAUCUGUAACUGGAACCAAAACAUACAUUUUAAUCAAUACGUACAUUUACAUCACUUCAUUGUUUUCUGACUAGCCAAUCACAAACCAAGAUGAGAGAUAGAGGGCGGGGCUAUUUGACAUUUCCAUAAUGAACAACGGUAAAGUUACAAUACAGUACAGUAUUUUUGCACUUUAGCUGAUGUUAAAUAUUCAUCGUAUCAGAACUUUGAGAAUCAGGUUCUUGGUGAUGUUUCUGUUGUCUUGAGGUCUGUGUUCAAUGCAUUUCUGUAUUUUAUCUUUGGUGUCCAAAUUAUUUUAUACAGAAGUAGGGUUGGUCAUGUAUCUUUUUGGAUCAAGUUUUUUAUUGUAAAGUUCCAGGUCGAUGUAACUGACAAAAUUGAUUUUAAAAUUGUUCUUUUGACUAAGAAAACUUUUAUUUGUAGAUUAGAGAAAUCUCUUUGGUGAGUGUCAGAGUUUAAAAAUGGAAGUAAUAAUUCCAGUUCAUUCUUACACUGAAUAACAUAUAGAGAACGGGCCUAUAUCUUUUCAAAGUUUGUAUGGAAAUGUGUGGCUCUUAAGAAUGAAUGAAUGAGAGGUGUUCCUGACCCUGACCACCCUGCCUUGUAGUGGAAGAGCUUGCAGAUGCAAAAAGAAUGUAUGUUAUCUGUAGAUUUAUGGUUUGAAGAGACAUCCUUUACAUAAUAGCUUGAGGUAUUGUCUUAUGAAUUUGAAGUGUACCCUUACAAUGUGGCACUGAUAUUCUUAAUCACGUUAGUAUGCAUAGUGUGAGUCUGUUAGCCUCUCCCUGCUUGUAUCACUUACCAUUGAUGCCCUUGUGAAAUUUUUUUUGCUUCAAAGAUUUUCAGAGCCUUAAUGUGAUUCACAACAGAUGUGAACACAAUGUCUGCUAUACUAUACUGUACCAUAAUUUUUGCUUUAUGAUAUUUCUGAGAAUUAUUUGUUUUGACGAUUGUGCCUUUGAUAUGUGAAUUUUGUAUCAGUCAUUUUCACUGGAAAUUUUUUAAUAACAGAUGAUAAGUAUUACUCAUGUACAAAGUGGGUUUACUUACAUAAUACUUGACUAUUUGUUAAACAUGAUUGGUCAGAUGGGUUCCAUUCCUAAUAGGCUCCAACCUAACCUAACCAUAAGGAUAGGCACCCAAUUCUAAUGGGGAACUUAAGGACUAGGGCCCAUUUUACUGUGACCAUGCAAUUAGCUGGGUAGGAAUAUUACCAAAUAGAUACUGUACCCUCAUGUAGAUUUGCUUCCAGGUAUAAUUUUCAUUUUUUUCUGUACUUUUCUAUUGCCGAGUAUCAUGAAGUUUACACCAAGAAAUGAAUAAGAUUAAGGUAUUGAUGCUUGGAAUGUAUGUGUAAUGAAUGAAAACCUUCAUAAUAGGAUUGUUUUGUCCAUGUAUUGUCCUGGUACUUAAACAAUGUGAUUUCAUAUUCUAUAGUACAGUAUAAUACAUUAUACAGAAAAUAAUAACAUUUGACUUCAUAA